GGGGACUUAGCUCAGUGGUAGAGCGCUUGCCUAGCAAGCACAAGGCCCUGGGUUCGGUCCCCA
rnacentral:tRNA from 1 species